CCUACGGGAGGCAGCAGUGAGGAAUAUUGGUCAAUGGUCGGGAGACUGAACCAGCCAAGCCGCGUGAGGGAUGAAGGUACAGAGUAUCGUAAACCUCUUUUGUCAGGGAACAAAGGCGGGGACGCGUCCCCGGAUGAGUGUACCUGAAGAAAAAGCAUCGGCUAAAUCCGUGCCAGCAGCCGCGGUAAUACGGAGGAUGCGAGCGUUAUCCGGAUUUAUUGGGUUUAAGGGGUGCGCAGGCGGUUUGUUAAGUCAGCGGUGAAAGCCCGGGGCUCAACCCCGGCCCGCCGUUGAAACUGGCAGUCGCGAGUUGGAGAGAAGUAUGCGGAAUGCGCGGUGUAGCGGUGAAAUGCAUAGAUAUCGCGCAGAACUCCGAUUGCGAAGGCAGCAUGCCGGCUCCACACUGACGCUGAGGCACGAAAGCGUGGGUAUCGAACAGGAUUAGAUACCCUUGUAGUC
rnacentral:rRNA from 1 species